rnacentral:rRNA from 1 species
UCCGUAGGCGGGCAGCUCAGUCAGUGGUGAAAGUUUGCAGCUCAACUGUAAAAUUGCCAUUGAUACUGGUUGUCUUGAAUUAAUGUGAAGUGGUUAGAAUAUGUAGUGUAGCGGUGAAAUGCAUAGAUAUUACAUGGAAUACCAAUUGCGAAGGCAGAUCACUAACAUUAUAUUGACGCUGAUGGACGAAAGCGUGGGGAGCGAACAGGAUUAGAUACCUGGUAGUCC